rnacentral:misc_RNA from 1 species
UCCUAGUUAACCUAGGCAGUCUCAUUAGAGUUCCCACCUUCACGUGUUGGCAACUAAUGACAAGGGUUGCGCUCGUUGCGGGACUUAACCCAACACCUCACGGCACGAGCUGACGACAGCCAUGCAGCACCUGUGCAAAGGCCCCGAAGGGAGGCGCCAUCUCUGGCGCUGUCCUCUGCAUGUCAAGCCUGGGUAAGGUUCUUCGCGUUGCAUCGAAUUAAACCACAUGCUCCACUGCUUGUGCGGGUCCCCGUCAAUUCUUUUGAGUUUCACCCUUGCGAGCGUACUCCCCAGGCGGUAUACUUAAUGCGUUAGCGUCGGCACCGUUAGGGUUGAAUCCAACGACACCUAGUAUACAUCGUUUAAGGCAAGGACUAC